GCCAAGCCAAGUGGAAAUGCAAGACGAAGGUGGUCGAUGCUCGAAGCCCUAUUCCCGCUGUUUCCUGGGGUGUCGGUGGUGCUAGAGCCUCCUGCAUCCGGUGGUUGAACACCUAGGUAUGUUUUAACAUUUAACAAUGAAAUUUUAGUUUAGCAUAGUCUCAAAUUGUGAAAGUAUAGCGUUUCAUUAUUUCCACAAAACAAAAAAAGUGUAUGAUUUAUUACCUGGUGAUGGUGCUGGACUAUUCGAUGAUCCCACUGGAUAUCCCAAAACUGCAUUUAGAAGAACACAGAUUUGAGCUGGUUAGGGGUGCAAGGAAGAACCGAUAAUUUGAAAGGCGCUCAAACCAAUUGAAACCACUUAUCGGUUUGAAUUUGAACUUGGCAAAGAACAAACUAAAUUAAACUUUAUAUCAAAUGGUGUUGUUGGUGGAGUUGAAGUUGGAGUGAGACUACAACCAAACCAUUGAGAUUAGUUGAUCAUACCAGUUCUGAUUUACAAGAUUUUGUUAUAAAGUCAUUGGUUUGGUUUCAAUUUAACGUUCAAACUUAGUGCUAAGUAGCCUCCUGUUAUGAUGAUAUUUAUUAAAGAUGCUUGUGAUAUCUAUUUGAAUUUUCUAGGGGGGAAAAGGGCAUCUUGAUAGCAAAGUUAAUAUAUUAGUUUAUGUAAUAAUGUUUGUUUGAAACAUUCUACUAAAAAAUCUCAUAGUUUGAUAAGAAGAUUUUAUUAAACAAAAGGAUUAAAUUUUAGUUAUAAACUAUAGACUAAACUCUACUAUUUUAAAAUCACACGACCAAAUUUAUAACUUAAUCUAAAAUGAUUAUUAUUUUGCACUAUGAUAGGAUUUAUAAUACAUUAUAGGAUCUAUAUUAUAUUUAAAAAUAUGAAUUGAAUUUUUUUAUACGUAUGUAAUUAUGCUCUUUAAAAUGUAAAAUUCAAAUUUUGGAUACAAUAAAAACAUAAAAAAUUAUUUUCAGAAUUAUACUAUUUGGAUCGGAUCACAUAAUCAGAUAACAGUUUUAAGAAACAAAAUCGAGAUUAUCACAUAAUUCGGAUUCUUUACCAAGUCCUUGAUUUCUAAGAUUCGUUUAAGCAAAAUUUUCUUUUCUUAAAUUAGAUUUUUUUGUAAUUUAUACUUUGUUUUCUUAUCAAUUUCAUACUACAUUUUCACGUUUUUCAAGAAAUAUUAAAUUCUUAGUUUAAUAUUUUAGAGAAAAGAUAUAAAAGUGUGUGAAAACCUUUUUUUAUUUCAAAAUUUGCUUUGCUUUUCUAGAGAUUGCAAAUAACAAAAUUAGGACGAAAAUAUUUAAUCAUUCAAACUCCUAAUUUUGUAUAUGAUAAAUGUGAAAAUUUUUAAAUAAAUUAUUUUAAAAAUAAAAACUCUAAGGGUAAAAUAUUUAUGAAUAUAAUAAAAUAUUAUAAUAGUGUACCAAAAUAAACCACUAUAUUUGAAAAUAACAAAAAAAAAAAAAAAUCAAUUGAUUUAUUGGAGAAUUUUAGUAUCAAUUUUGAUUUUGUAAUAGAUCUGAUAGAGAGAGUAUGUAUUAAUAUUUAUAAUCUAUCAUUAAAGAAGCCUUCCCUAUGUUUAUAAAUUAAUUAGCUGAGUUUGGUAUAUUUGAUAUCAUAAAGGAAAGAAAUUGAAGAGGAAAGAUGAAAAAAGAAAGAAAGCUUACGAGAGCAUAGAGAAAUGGAAGGAGUGGAGACAUGGCAUUGAGUAGGAAGCUUCAUAGCUCUAUCAACAUCAAUGGUGAAUCCAACUUUAUCUGGAUCACUAAGC
rnacentral:lncRNA from 1 species